rnacentral:rRNA from 1 species
UACAGAGGGCUCAAGCGUUGUUCGGAUUUACUGGGCGUAAAGGGUGCGUAGGCGGUCGGGUAAGUCUGAUGUGAAAUCUCAGAGCUCAACUCUGAAACUGCAUUGGAUACUAUUCGGCUUGAGGUCUGGAGGGGGGACUGGAAUUCUCGGUGUAGCAGUGAAAUGCGUAGAUAUCGAGAGGAACACCAGUGGCGAAGGCGAGUCCCUGGACAGAACCUGACGCUGAGGCACGAAAGCUAGGGGAGCAAACAGG